rnacentral:ribozyme from 1 species
UAUAAUCAUCCGAACGAGCCUCUCUGAAACCUCUAGAAGGCCACACAUGCUCUCCUACUGAACUCCUAUUCCGUAACGCCCCGAUCGUGCAAAGUAGUAACGUGUACCACCGUAUAUCCAAGAUUGGUUAAACGGGUUAGAUCCAACCCCUUGGGCGGAUGGUGAUGCACGGCAAAACGGGAAGGG